GACGUAGGGGGCCAGCGUUGCUCGGAAUUACUGGGUGUAAAGGGUUCGUAGGCGGUGCGGCAAGUUGGGAGUGAAAUCUCUGGGCUCAACCCAGAGGCUGCUUCCAAAACUGCUGUGCUUGAGUGUGGGAGAGGCGCGUGGAAUUGCAGGUGUAGCGGUGAAAUGCGUAGAUAUCGUAAGGAAGACCAGUGGCGAAGGCGGGUCUCUGGACAGUUCCUGACACUGAGACACGAAGGCCAGGGGAGCAAACGGG
rnacentral:rRNA from 1 species